rnacentral:rRNA from 1 species
CCUACGGGAGGCAGCAGUGGGGAAUAUUGGACAAUGGGCGAAAGCCUGAUCCAGCCAUGCCGCGUGUGUGAAGAAGGCCUUCGGGUUGUAAAGCACUUUCAGUGGGGAAGAAAGCCUUGGGGCUAAUACCCUCGAGGAAGGACAUCACCCACAGAAGAAGCACCGGCUAACUCCGUGCCAGCAGCCGCGGUAAUACGGAGGGUGCGAGCGUUAAUCGGAAUUACUGGGCGUAAAGCGCGCGUAGGCGGUCUGAUAAGCCGGUUGUGAAAGCCCCGGGCUCAACCUGGGAACGGCAUCCGGAACUGUCAGGCUAGAGUGCAGGAGAGGAAGGUAGAAUUCCCGGUGUAGCGGUGAAAUGCGUAGAGAUCGGGAGGAAUACCAGUGGCGAAGGCGGCCUUCUGGACUGACACUGACGCUGAGGUGCGAAAGCGUGGGUAGCAAACAGGAUUAGAUCCCCGGUAGU